rnacentral:rRNA from 1 species
ACGCACGCUGGCGGCGUGCUUAACACCUGCCAGUCGAACGGAAAGGCCCUGCUUUUGUGGGGUGCUCGAGUGGCGAACGAGUGAGUAACACGUGAGUAACCUGCCCUUGACUUUGGGAUAACUUCAGGAAACUGGGGCUAAUACCGGAUAGGAGCUCCUGCUGCAUGGUGGGGGUUGGAAAGUUUCGGCGGUUGGGGAUGGACUCGCGGCUUAUCAGCUUGUUGGUGGGGUAGUGGCUUACCAAGGCUUUGACGGGUAGCCGGCCUGAGAGGGUGACCGGCCACAUUGGGACUGAGAUACGGCCCAGACUCCUACGGGAGGCAGCAGUGGGGAAUAUUGCACAAUGGGCGGAAGCCUGAUGCAGCAACGCCGCGUGCGGGAUGACGGCCUUCGGGUUGUAAACCGCUUUCGCCUGUGACGAAGCGUGAGUGACGGUAAUGGGUAAAGAAGCACCGGCUAACUACGUG